AACGAUAAUUUCGCGUUUUAAACGCCCACACGAGUAAUCAAAUAGUAAAAAAAGAACAUUUAGUUAUGUAAAAUCAUUGGUAUGUAAUUUUCUAGUGUAUACAUUUAUGUAUACAUAAGAUCACUGCAAUUAAAAAGUAACGUAUGCAUUUAUGUAUGCGUUAAAAAGUAAUUAAUAUAUUUUAUUAAGUUACUCUCAAAUGAAGAUAAAACUUCGUUAAAAAAUAAUAACCUUUUUU
rnacentral:misc_RNA from 1 species